rnacentral:lncRNA from 1 species
AUAGAUCCAGCAUGAAUGUAAGAUAAAGAGGAGGAAUCAAAGAUGACUGCAGGGGUUUUGCCUGAGCAGCUGCAAGGAAGAAGUUACCAACUGGCAUCAGUAAGUCUGGGCAGGUCAGAACCCAUUGUUAAGACUCCAGUGGUUCGAAGUCAUGUCAAAACAAGAGUUACCAGUUGGAAGAACGAGAAUGUUUGCUCCAAGGUCUUUCAGUAG